rnacentral:rRNA from 1 species
UACGAAGGAUUCGAGCGUUAUCCGGAUUUAUUGGGUUUAAAGGGUGCGUAGGUGGACUAAUAAGUCAGUGGUGAAAGCCCGCAGCUUAACUGCGGAACUGCCAUUGAUACUGUUAGUCUUGAGUACAGUUGAGGUGGGCGGAAUGUGUCAUGUAGCGGUGAAAUGCUUAGAUAUGACACAGAACACCGAUUGCGAAGGCAGCUCACUAAGCUGUAACUGACACUGAGGCACGAAAGCGUGGGGGAGCAAACAGG